GACGAACGCUGGCGGCGUGCUUAACACAUGCAAGUCGAGCGGACAGACCCUGCUUUUGUUGGUUUCUCGAGUGGCGAACGCGUGAGUGACACGUGUGUAUCCUCCCCUUGACUUUCUGAUAUCUUUACGAAACUCGGGCUCAUACCCGGUAUGAUCUCCUGCUCCAUGGUGGUGGUUGGAAAGUUUCGGCGGUUGUGGAUGGAUUCGAUGCUUAUGAGCUUGUUGGUGUGGUAGUGGCUGACCAAGGGUUUGACGGGUAGGCUGCAUGAGAGGGUUACCGGGCACAUGGGGACUGAGAGACGGAGCAGACGGGUACGGGAGGCAGUAGGGGGGAAUAUUGCACAAUGGGGGGAAGCGUGAUGCAGAAACGCCGCGAGCGGGAUGACGGGUUUCGGGUUGUAAACAGAUUUGGAAUGUGACGAAGCGUGAGUGACGGUAAUGGGUAAAGAAGCACCGGCUAACUACGUG
rnacentral:rRNA from 1 species